AGUGGCGAACGGGUGAGUAAAGUAUCGGAACGUGCCCAGUCGUGGGGGAUAACGUAGCGAAAGUUACGCUAAUACCGCAUACGAUCUAUGGAUGAAAGCGGGGGAUCGCAAGACCUCGCGCGAUUGGAGCGGCCGAUAUCAGAUUAGGUAGUUGGUGGGGUAAAGGCUCACCAAGCCGACGAUCUGUAGCUGGUCUGAGAGGACGACCAGCCACACUGGGACUGAGACACGGCCCAGACUCCUACGGGAGGCAGCAGUGGGGAAUUUUGGACAAUGGGCGCAAGCCUGAUCCAGCCAUGCCGCGUGCAGGAUGAAGGCCUUCGGGUUGUAAACUGCUUUUGUACGGAACGAAAAGGUUUGGCCUAAUAAGCUGAGCUCAUGACGGUACCGUAAGAAUAAGCACCGGCUAACUACGUGCCAGCAGCCGCGGUAAUACGUAGGGUGCGAGCGUUAAUCGGAAUUACUGGGCGUAAAGCGUGCGCAGGCGGUUAUGUAAGACAGAUGUGAAAUCCCCGGGCUCAACCUGGGAACUGCAUUAGUGACUGCAUAGCUGGAGUACGGCAGAGGGGGAUGGAAUUCCGCGUGUAGCAGUGAAAUGCGUAGAUAUGCGGAGGAACACCGAUGGCGAAGGCAAUCCCCUGGGCCUGUACUGACGCUCAUGCACGAAAGCGUGG
rnacentral:rRNA from 1 species